rnacentral:lncRNA from 1 species
GGAAAUGACUUGGAUGUAUUAGUAAAUGGUGUGGCAGGAAUGGAAGGUGUGAUGAGGCGUCGAGACCUUCCUAGUUUCUGCCGAACACCUGACAUUGAUAUCCCAGUUAUCAAACUUGUAAUCAAGCAGGGGAAACAUAUUGUCCAAGCCCAAGGUCUAAUAUUCAACACAUUUGAAGACCUUGAAGGGCCUAUUCUCUCACAAUUUCGAGCUCUAUGUCCAAACAUCUAUGCCAUUGGGCCUCUACACACUCAAAUGAAGGCAAAACUAUCUUCCCAAUAUUUGCCAAACACACCAACAUCUAACAGCAUAUGGAAAGAGGAUAUGAGUUGUAUAGAUUGGCUCGACAAACAGCCCAAUAAAUCAGUUAUAUUUGUCAGCAUUGGAAGCCUUGCCACAAUGAGCAAGGCCCAAUUCUUGGAAUUUUGGUAUGGUUUGGUGAAUAGUAAGACUAGGUUCUUGUGGGUCCAGAGGCCCGGUUCAAUUAUUGGACUUGAAGACGACAACAAUAAUGUUCCCAUGGAAUUGGUUAAAAGUACAAAGGAGAGGGGGUGUAUAAUUAGUUGGGCUCCGCAAGAAGAAGUGCUAGCUCACCCAUCAAUUGGUGGGUUUUUAACGCAUAGCGGGUGGAAUUCAACUUUGGAAAGUAUAGUAGAAGGAGUGCCAAUGAUUUGUGUGCCCUAUUUUGUUGAUCAACAAGUAAAUAGUAGGUAUGUUGGGGAGGUGUGGAAGCUUGGACUAGACAUGAAAGAUGUAUGUGAUAGAGCCACAAUUGAGAGGAUGGUGAGAGAUGUGAUGGAUGUGAAGAAAAUUGAAUUUUUGGAAAGGGCAAAACAUAUGAGCGAUUUGGCAAUAGCAAGUGUUGGUGAAGGUGGCUCUUCAUACCAAGAUUUGGACCGUUUAAUUGAGGAUAUUAGGCUGAUGAGGAUAUAACAUCCUCACAUGCCUAAAUAACUUUUUGGGCUCUUUAUGAUGAUCUAUGGGCUAAUGUGCCGUCUUUCAUUUGGUCAAUAAAUGAUGUUUAAUUCUCUUUAUUUAGUUUAAACAAGCUCUUCAGAGUUUUUGGCUAAAAACAUCCUUAAACUAUAGCUUCAACUUAAACUACAUCCUUAAAUUAUCUUUCUUAACAAAAAAAACAUCCUCCAAAUAUUUAAAACUUAAUAACUUCCAUCCCUCUAUUAAAAUUUAUCAAAAUAUUAGCGAAUUCCACACAAAAACAUAUGCAAUUCAUACUAUUCUCUUAAAAAUAAAUUCUAUAAUUUUAUUAUUUGUUGGUAAAAGCUUCCAAUUUAUUUAUUUAUUUAAACCCUUGUUUGUUGUUAAAAAAAAUAAUGUUAUGACAGUGUGAGUCUAUGAGGAGACAUGAUUUGGAGCUUAAUUUUACACCAUCUUCACUUUGCAAAGUCAUAAUGUCGUUAAAUCAAUAAUUUUUUGGGGCAAACUGAUAAUUGAGGUAAUCAAGAUUCAACUAAUUUUGAUCUCUAGUCCUCGAGUUUCGUUUUCCAUUAUUAGAAGUAAAAGUCUCCGAUCGACACCACUUUUUGCAGAUUCAAUGAGAAGAAAACAUUUCAACUAAUAAUUUUUUGAUAUCAAAUCAAAUGAAAAGUAAAUAAAAACAAAAUUUCUAAUUAAAAGGAAGACAAUGCAAAACGUUGUUGCUAAAAAAAAUUCACAAUAUUUUAUUUUAAAUGUAUGUAGAAUGAACAAAAUUGGUUUAUUGGGGGUGAUUUAGGGAGUUUUGUUGAGUAGUGUGAACCGUACAUGUUUUUGUGAAGAAUUUGUUAAUUUUUGACAAAUUUUAACAAAAGGAUAAAAGUUGUCAAUUUUUAAAUAAUUGAGGGAUAUUUUCUGUUAAAAAUAAUAAUUUGAGGAUGUAGUUUAAGUUGGAGGUAUAGUUUAAGGAUGUUUUUGGCCAAAAACUCAACUCUUAAUGUGGAUAAUUGAAUUGCUUGGGUAAAAUUGUAUUGUUCAAGCCUGUUUUAAUUUAUGCGACGUGAUUUAAUUUGGCAUGAAAUUCAAGAAAAAAAAUGAUGAUUUUUGAAACGUGGAUCAACAUAUCAUAAGGAGAAGGUUUGAGAAAGUUAAUAUAUAUGAGACUUUUAAACAUACCUACACUCUCGACACGUGUGUGGCAUGUGCUUAUCAAUCUUAUAAUAGACUAUAUUUUUUAAAAUAAAUAAUACAAUAUUAUCAAAUAUACUAUUAAGUACAUGAAGGAUGAUGAACAUAAGUAUGACUGACCAUUCAAUACUAAUAUAUAUGUUUAAUUGAUCUAUGCUUCUAAUGUUAUUUCUUUCAAUUAUGAACUUUGUAGGCAUUUUAUGUAGGGGAUAAGGGUCUGAAAAAUACCUCAACUUUGGCCGGAUUUGCUGUUGCGAUACUAAACUUUCAUAAGGACCUAUUACCUCCCUAGACUAUUUCAUAUCAUAUUAUUUAUCCCCUGAACUAUUUAAUAGUGUAUUUUAAAGGUAUAUAUAUGCCAUGUGGACACAUUACUAUUUAUAAUUUUGCAUUAUUUUUUAUGUCCACGUGGACAAAUAUAUAUGUUUAAAAUACGGUAUUAAAUAGUCUAGGGAGGUAAUAGGUCCUCAUGAAAGUUUAGUAUCGCAACAGCAAAUCCAACCAAAGUUGAGGUAUUUUUCAGACCUUUAUCCCUUUUUAUAGUUUGACUCUAAAAAAGAAAAUUAUGACAAUUUAAAGUGGACGGAGGUAGUAUUUGUUAAUCCCUCCGUCCAACCAUAUUUGUCCACUAUACUAAAAAUAGUUGUUCAACAAUAUUUGUCCAAUUUAGAAAAUCAAGAGAUAAUUUACCUUUUGCGUUUAUUUUACUCUUGCUAUUAAUAUUACUCAUUUAUCAUAUAACAUAUUUUUCAAAACAUUAAAUUUAAAAAAUGUUUGAUAGAAUUACUCUAUUAUUUAUUGUUUUUGAAGGGAUGUGUGUAGAGACAAAGUUAGCCCUUUAAUUAUGAGUUUGAUAGAAUUUUAGUUUAUAUAUGCUAAAAGAUUCAUUAAGAAACAAAAAAGAGUAACGAUUUAGAACUUAUAAAUUUUAAAAUUACUCUAUUAUUUAUUGUUUUUGAAGGGAUGUGUGUAGAGACAAAGUUAGCCAUGUAGUUAUGAAAAUAUUUCUUUUACUAAACAUUCAUCUGUGUUACUAUAUAAUUGUGUCUCACAAUAAUUUAUUCAUGAAAAAUGCUACUAAAAAUGUCUAAAAUUGACCUUCAAAAAAGUCGACAAAAAUCGACAUUUAGAGAUUGUUUUUUGAAUUUUUCUUUUGAAUUAUUUGUUUACAAACUCAACCUAUGGAGAUCACAUUUUUUAGUGCUUUGAUCUCUAGAGAUAGGUUUCUUAAAUACCGACCUGUGAAGGUUGAUUUUUUUUUUUGAAGACCAUUCUUUGAAAAGAAAAGAUUUAAUGACCAAAAACAUAUUCAAACUAUCAUUUUCUUUUGGAGUUUCAUACCUCAAUUAUGCAUUGUUUCCUUUACCUACCUAAACUAUCACUUCCUUUGUAUUAAUAUAACAUACCUCGAUGUUGAGGUGACCAAAUAUUUAUUAUUAAUUGCCAACAUGCAUGUAUAGAUUGUGAAAGAAAUCAACAAAUGUGUAGAUGUUCCCUGAUCAGUUGAAUGAGUUAAUGGUAGUUAGUUGUUAAGUCUAAUUACUUGAUUAAGUGAGCUUAAUUAAUGAUGAAUAGAGUUAGUUAGAAUAAGUCAGUUAGAAAGUUUGUUAGACUUGUCAGAACUGUAUAAAUUGUAGUGCUGCACAUUCAUUCAAUACAAUGCAAGAUAUUUUUCUUCUCUUCCAAAUAAAUUUCUUCUUCCUUACAUUACAUUCAUCAAUUGUUCAUGGAUCUUAGAUAAUUUCACAUGGUAUCAAAGCCACCAUGAAUGUGAAUCGGGGACUUUCACAUGAAGUGAAGUUUUUCGAGGGAUUUUAUACUCAUCUUCUUUGAAGUUUUUUUACUCCGUUUUUCCAUGGAGAAUUCAGGCAAUUUGGGGGAAACUGCUUCCGCGACUGCAAACAUCAUCUCACCUUCAAUUGAUUACCAUCAUCCUCUCUUAUUGUAUCCCUCAAAUGCUCCUGGAUCAUUAUCAGUUGGAAUUAUGUUAACUGGAUCGGAUAACUAUACCUUAUGGUGCAGAGCUAUGAAACUAGCUUUACUGGGAAGGAAUAAACUGGGAUUUAUCGAUGACACAGUAAGUCGAGGUCAGUUCAGUGGAGAUGUAGCUUGAUUGUGGGAUCGAGGCAAUGCAAUUGUCAUUUUGUGGAUCAAGUGCAAUGUAAGCAAAGAUCUACUGAGUGGUGUUCUAUUUUGUUCGAAUAACUAUCGAAUUUGGGAGGAUCUGAGAGAGAGGUUUGAUAAGAUCAAGAGCUCUCGAACUUUUCAAUUGCACAAGAGAUUUUCAUAUUAGUUCAAGGUUUAUAUUCAGUUUCUGUCUAUUACUCUAAGUUGAAGGAUUUGUGGGACGAGUAUGAUUCGAUCAUGCCUCCUCCUUCAUGUGACUGCCCUAAGUCUAGAGAAUUUUCUGAUCAUCUACAAUAUCAGAGGGUUUUGCAGUUUCUAAUGGGAUUGAAUGACAGCUAUAGUCAAGCUAGGAGUCCGAUAUUAAUGAUGCCACAAAUUCUUAAUGUUAACCAGGUUUUUGCAAUGGUGAAUCAAGAUGAAUGUCAGAGGAUUGUGGCAGGCACUAGUAAGAUAUCAUUGGAUAACUCAAUUCCCUCAGCUAUGUACACUUCCAGGACUGGGGGUGAUGCAUAUAAGCAGAAAAAAAGGAUAUAAUGGACAAGUUUUCUGUGACUACUGCCACACAAAGGGUCAUACUAGAGGAGAUUGCAACAGGUUGAAGAAAUGUGACUUUUGUCACAAAACUGGACAUGUAAAGGCAGACUGUUUUCAGUUGAUUGGGUAUCCUGUAGACUACAAGGGAAAGAGACAAUCUAAUGCAGUAGUUGGUCCCUUGGCAGGUAACAAUUUUAGUGAUAAUGUUUUUGGAGGACCACAAAGGAUGCAACCUCAAUGUACAUCAACCUGUCCACCCUAGAUAUGAUCCAUACCCACAACAGUAUACAAUACCAAGGUAUGAUGCCACAUUCACAGCUUCCACCAAGUUCUUUUGGACAAAGAGAUGUCUAUCAUAAUGGAAAUUGUAGUGUUAACAUGGCAAGCACAAAUACUCUUUGUUUCCCUAAGAAUACUUCUGUGAAAUGAAUUGUAGACACAGGUGCUACCAACCACAUGAUAGGUGAUCCCAAACAUUUGAUGAAUGGUGGUCUAUUAGAACAUGUAGGUAAGGUGCAGUUACCCACAUGAGAUUCAGCUAGAGUCUCACAUGUUGGAAACUGCACCCUGGGAGGAGGUGAUGUUCUAACAAAUGUUUUAUGUGUGCUAGCUUUCAAGCUUAACCUUAUGUCAGUCUCCAAGAUGACAAAAGACUUGAGUUAUUGUGCUACCUUUUAUCCAGAUUAUUAUGUAUUACAAGAUCUCUCAUCUGGGAAGGUGAGGGAGAUUGGUAGGCAAGAGAAUGUGCUUUACACUCUAUACUCACAGACACAUGUAGCAGACAAGAAAAUCAUCGGUAGCAAAUGUCUUACAGCAACACAAAAGGCAGUUGUUCUUACCUGGCAUCAAAGGAUGUGUCAUGUUCCAGUAAAUGUCCUUAAGAAAAUGCCUAUGUUUCAUGAUAUUUGUAAGACCAGUUCUUUUACUUUGAAUAACUGUGAAAUAUGUCCACUUGCUAGACAAGCUAGAUUACCUUUCCCACAUAGUAUGCAUAGGUCUAAUUCUGCAUUCCAAUUAAUACAUGUUGAUGUUUGGGGACCAUAUAAAUGGAAUACUUUUGAUGGAAAUUUUCUCACUAUUGUUGAUGAUCAUACAAGAUGGACAUGGGUGUUCUUGAUGAGACUUAAGUCAGAUGUCUUAAUGAUAUUACAUAAUUUUUUUAUUGAAGUAGCAACACAGUUUGACAAAAGGGUCCAAAGACUGAGGUUUGAUAAUGGUGGAGAGUUCUUCAGCCAUGAUUGCAGAGAACUAUUACAGAAACAUGGUAUAUUGCAUGAGAGUUCUUGUCCUUACAUACCACAGCAAAAUGGUGUUGUUGAAAGAAGGCACAAACACAUCCUUGAAACUGCCAGAGCAAUCAAGUUCCAAGGAGGUCUACCUAACAGUUUUUGGGGAUUAUACAUAGAGUCAGCUAUGUAUGUUUUAAAUAGAGUGCCCUCCAUUGUGCUCACUGGAAAGUCACCUUUUUUAAUUAAUGUAUAACAAGCUUCCAUCCUUAGUGCAUUUGAGAGUAAUAGGGUGUUUAUGCUUUGCAAUCAAUCUUACUCAGAAGGAUAAAUUCAGUCCUAGGGCUGUGAAGGCUGUAUUAGUUGGUUAUAAUGCAUAUCAGAAAGGUUAAAAGUUGUAUAAUCUUGCAACUAAAACCUUUUUUGUUAGUCGAGAUGUUGUAUUCAUGGAAGGCAUUUUUCCAUUCAAAGAUAAUGUACAAGAGCAGCAACAUGAUGGCACUAUGCUGCAAUAUCAUUUUCUUAUGAUGAUCUGAUGAUGCUUCCUCACAAUGAUGCUCCUGUUGAUUUUAGUUCUGAGGACCAUGGAGUAUUACCUCCUACUGAUGUUGAUAUGAGGGAGGAGGAUACUGGAGUUGAUGUGGUGUUACCUAAUGAAAGUUUGGGAAUUGGUUCAGGUUCAGACACCAAUAUUGAAGUGCUAUCUUCUAAUGUUACAUAAUUUUUGAUCAAACUAAGCCAUUAUUUAAACCGAUUCACCAAAAUAAUAUGUUUUUAAUUUUUUUUACAAAACUAGGAUAAACGUAUUUCUGAGUAACGUUUUAGGGUAUUUUUAUUUUAAAAUUCAACGGAAAAAAUUGACGGAGCUGACGACGUUAAAUGAAUAAAUGUACUCUUGAGUAACGUUUUACACCUAAAACGUUACUCACGAGUACGUUUAUUGAGAAUCCAAUGACGGGCCAUUGAAUCCAAUCCUGCAAAUGCAAAUGGAGUGACCAGUUGUGUUCAAUGAGUUCGGAGCCAAAAUGACAGUUUUUUUCCAUCGAAAAAUAAAAAACGGCACAUAAAAUUUUUUUUAACCAAAAGGGUAAAAUCGCUCCUGACGGAGCGAUUUUCUUUUGACAAAUUGACGCCGUUCCGUUGAAAUAAAUAUCGCUGCCUUAGCAGCGAUUUUCUAAAAAAAAAAAAACCUUUUUCUUUGAAAUCGCUGCUAUAGCAGCAUUUUUAUAAUAAUAAUAAUAAUUUAAAAGUAAAAUUGCAGCUAUAGCAGCGAUUUUUUUUAAGAAAUUAAUUUUUUUUUAAAUAAAUCGCUGCCUUAGCAGCGAUUUUAUGAGAAUAUUUAUCGUAACAUGCAUGGAGGAGCAGUUGGAGUUGUCGCAAAGAGUUAUCAUAAAUGUAAAUGGAGACUUUUGUAAAGCAACAAGUUUUAUUACUCAUUGGAGAAUUCACUGCGAUUAUUGAUUUCAUGCAACUAUAUUUAUGGUAUGAGAUGAGUUUUAUGUUGAGAUUUAUGGUAUGAGAUUUCAUGAAUGUGUAUGAGAUGAGAUUUCAUGAUUUGUAGGGAUUGCAUUUUCAGAAUCAGGAGAAAGUACAUCAAGACCAAUUGGCCAUUUGCAUUUGCAGGAUUGGAUUCAGUGGUCCGUGAUUGAAUUCUCGAUAAUUGUACUCGUGAGUAACGUUUUACACCUAAAAUGUUACUAAAGAGUACGUUUAUUCAUUUAACGUCGUCAGUUCAGUCAGUUUUUGUCCGUUGAAUUUUUAAAAUAAAAAUAUCCUAAAACGUUACUCAGAAAUACGUUUAUACUAGUUUUGUAAAAAAAAUAAAAACGUAUUAUUUUGGUGAAUUGGUUUAAAUAAUGGCUUAGUUUGGUAAAAAAAUCAAUGUUACAGGUCGACCUAACACUGAGAAUUUUUUUACCAAAGUAAGCCAUUAUUAAAAUUAAUUUAUCAAAAUAACACGUUUUUUUGAAAUUUUACAAAACUAGUAUAAACGUAGUUCACAGUAACGUUUUAGGUUAUAUUUUAUUAAAAAAAAUUCAAUAACAAAAAGAUAAAAAUCUAACAGAUUAAAUAGACAUAAAACGUUAUUGUCAGUAACGUUUUAUAAUUUGUUACUCUGAGGCACAUUUUACAACUAAAACGUGACUCACAGUAACGUUUUUCUGGAAUGACUGAAAAUUAAAAAACAAUCUUGUACAUGCCUCAUUCAACUUUAUUAAACUUUCCACUAUUAAAAUGAAUAUAUAUAUUUUACACAUAUAUAAAUUUCUCUUUUCUUCUCUUUUCAUACAUAGAUAAUACUUUUGCAUGGAAAAUAAGUUGUGAGGAGGUUUUACUAUAAUAUCAAUUAAUUUCUUUGUCUCUUCUAUUAUGAUGUAGCCAUUAGAUUUUUUUUAAUUGUUGGUUUGCUUACUUAUUACAUCAAUUUUAAUUCAAUAACUUCUUUAUUGAUAGUCUAAUAUUUAAUAAUGAUAAGAAACAGAUUAGUCUAAUAUUUGGAAGGGAUGCUAUCUUAGGCUUGAAUUAAGAAGAUCUCUCAUAUGAUUUAUUUACAAAUUUUGAAAUUGAAAUGAUACAAGACAAGCUCCAAUUUGUGUAAAGUCAUCCUCGCCUUUUUUUCCUUUUGUUUAAAAAAAUAUUGUCUAUGUGAUAAGAGAAAGAAAAGAGAAAAUCAUAUAUAUUUCAAAUGAAGGUAUGUACAAAAUAUAUCUAUCCAUUUUAAUAGUGGAAAUUUGAAUAAUGAAUGAGAGAUGUACAAGAUUGGAUUUCAAUUUUCACCAUUGAGAAACGUUACUGUGAGUCACGUUUUAGCUGUAAAACUUGCUUCAGAGUAACGAAUUAUAAAACGUUACUGACAAUAACAUUUUAUGUCUGUUUACUCUGUCAGAUUUUUGUCUUUUUGUUAUUCAAUUUUUUUGAAUAAAAUAUAACCUAAAACGUUACUGUGAACUACGUUUAUACUAGUUUUGUAAAAAAUUUAAAAAAAGUAUUAUUUUGGUAAAUUGAUUUUUAUAAUAGCUUACUUUAAUAAAAAAUUCUAAUACUGAUGAUACCUCAUGAAAGUUUACCACUAAUUUUUAACUAGAGAUUUUAAGUUUUCAUUUUUAAAUUAAAGAAAUUUCUUUAUAGAAAAUAUUUUUCAUUAGCUGAUCCGAAUACUUGAUGAUUAUAAGAAAAAAGAAGUAACGUAUCCAGUAGAACAUCAUUAUCGUCAUUGAAAAAAUUGCUAAGAAUAAAUGUCACUUUACCUACUAUAUUUUUGAAAAGUAAAACAAACAGACAUUUAUUAAUUCUCAAGCCAAAAGAAGAAGAAAAAAGUAUACGGUCCUUUUUCUUUCCAUAAAAUAUUCUAAGUCGAAAGAUGACCCACAGUAUUUUUUUUAGGGGGGUUUUAUUGUAGAAUCAUUUGCAGAUCCUAUAAAGUCAGAAACAAUAUCAUCUCUCUGCCGAGUAAAUCCAAACUUUUCUUAUUUUGUUGGAGAAAUAAAACAUUAACACAAAAGCAAAAUCUCAUCUUUCAUUAUGAACCACCAGGAGCGGAGUUAGGUAGGAUGCCUUGAUUAAAAAUUUAUUAUUUAUAAAUAAUUAAAAUUAUUAUUUAAUGUAUAAUAAAUGUUGAAUUUUGUAUAAUUUAUUUGUGUCUUGGCUUCUUUAAAUUUUAAAUUGUUAGAUGAAAAUCUUGCUCCGUCACUAAACAAAACCACAGACCAGGUCAAGUAUUUACCAAACUUACCAGCGGCUUUUAUCAUCAGCAAAAUACGGUCCAAUUCUACUUUGAAACAAUAUUUUAAGCAAUAUGACCCUAUCUUAAUGUUUCCACUCAAUUUGAUUAUUAUAAUCUUUUGGCUUCUCAGUGCAUAUAUCGCUUUACAUUAUUUAUGUGUUAAAUAAAUUAAUCAAAUCAAUAUUAUAUUCAUGGUGAGUAAAUAGGAAAUAGCAACGGACUAUUUCUAUCAUUAAAACAGUAGAAAAAUUGUCUCGAUCGAUCCUAUUUAACAGAUUAUUAACAAGUCAGGUUAGUUACAAAUUAUAGUUCAGUGAUGAAAUUCAUAAUUAAUUUCUAUUUUUGUGUGGCGUAGUAACAUUAUGCCAUGAUAUAAUAAUUUCUUGUCUUUAAAUAUUUUAGUCUCCAUUUUGUUAAUUAUUUUUUUCACAUAAAUAAAAUAAUAAAUAAAUUUUUUUAUAAUAUUUACCACAAGCAAUAUCGAUUACCAAACAAUGCAUAGAUUAGUCAUACAUAAAUUAUAUUUUAUAAUUAAUUCCGUCAAACCAAAUAUAUUUUUUAUAUAGAAUUUCACGUCAAUGCAUGCAUCAGUCAUACAUAAAUUAUUGUUCAUAAUUAAUCCUGUCAAACUAAAUAUAUUUUUAUAUAGAAUUUCAGGUUGAAAUUAUUUUUCACAUGGUGUCUUAGCUCCGACUCCGACCCAGCCAACAUUAAAAUCUCCCUUACUCCAUCGACCCAUCAAACUAAACCAACAAGAAAGCUCUUUAAUUUCUCCUAAUAUUAAUAACCAGCAUACAUCAUUUUAAUUUGGAAGUGUCCAAGAAAUUAAAUUAAGAGAUAAACAUGGCAGUUCCUCACGUAUUUAUUUUCCCGUUGCCUCUUCAAGGUACAGUAAAUUGCAUGCUUAAACUGGCUGAACUCUUAUGCCUUCACCAAGAAAUUCAUAUCACUUUCAUCAACACUGAAUAUAUCCAUCAACGCUUGAUGAAUUAUACGGACGUUCUAGUCCGUUUUGAGAAAUAUCCAAACUUCAAAUUCGUGACAGUUCCAGAUGGACUUCCAGAAGAUAAUCCAAGAAAUGGAGACCAAAUAGGGAAGAUUAUUGAAGGUGUAGAGAAAGUGAGUAGCCCACUUUUCAGAGAGAUGGUGAUGAUGACUACUACUAAUUAUUGUACUCCAACUUGUCUCAUAGUUGAUGGUAUUUUUUCAUUUGCUGUUGAUAUUGCUAAAGAGGCUAAAAUCCCACUUCUUUAUUUUGAUACUAUAAGUCCUUGUUCUCUCUGGACUUAUUUGGCUGUUCCAAAACUCAUUGAAGAUGGAGAAAUUCCUUUCAAAGGUUAGUCUCAUUAGUAUUUUUGCACUUCAAGAAAUUAGUUUUGGAUUUUUGCUUACUAUAUCAUAAGCAGAAUAAAUUUCUUAGAUAGUCACUCAUGUUUGGAAAUUUUACUCGAUAAAUUAUAAUAUAAUUUUUAUUUCUUUUAAGACCACAAUAUCACCUAAUUGUUUAAUUUUACCUCAAAAUAUACUUCUCUCUGUUAAUGAGACACCAUGUCACAUCAUUUUAUUUCUUUAACAGAAAGUUUUUAAACAAUAAAAAAUUGUUUAAUGUCUCUAUAAGCAACUUCUUUUGCGAUAGCUAAAUUAGCUUGAGUAUUACCUUAUCCUUUUGUUUUCUUGUCCAUGUAAAAGAAUAAAGACAAAUUAAUAUUCAAAUAAUUAGGUGAUCAGCAACGCUAUCUGAUAAGAUAAUUUUUCAUGAAGACGGCCGUGCCGGGUUAUUCUGAUGACACAAGUUAAUGCGUUAGUUGACACAUUUAUUUAAGAUGACAUUUUUAUGACUCCUAUAUAAAUUAUAUACUAUAUGUUUUAGGUUUUGAUACUAUGCUAUAGUUGUCGUUUUCCUUUUUAGUAGGCGCAAUAUUAGAAAAUGAAUUAGUACACAUCAUCAAUUAUAGUUUAUUUGUAUUAAAAAUUAUAAAUCUCAAUAUAUAUUUUCUUGCUUAUAGUUAUAGGAUACAUGUAAAAGAAAAAGAUACUCCCUUCAUUUCAAAAGAAUAAUUUAGUUUAACGUGACAUGGAGAUCAGAGUUUAAGAUAAUAAAUACGUAAGACUUUUUAAUUUUAUGGUCUUAUAUAUAAUAUUGUGUCACACAGGGGCGUAGUCAUGUACAUGUGAGGGUGUCCAAUUGGAUACCCUUCGUCGAAAAAAAUAUCGUAUAUACAAGUGAAAUGAUACACAAAGUGAUUAAAUAACAUAUUCUGGACACCCUUAACACAAUAGGUUAUCGUAGCCCAGCGGUUUGACCCCUUAGAUGGGUUCCAGAUGUCUUGAAUGAGUCAGUGCUUGCGUGUUCAAAUCUAUUUUUCCCCCUUUUAAAAAGAGUUUUGUUGUGCAAUUUCUGGACACCCUUCGUAAAAUUCCUAGCUCCGCCACUGAAUUUAUUGUCACAUGUAUCAAAAUGUUUUUUAAUCUCGUGGCCUUAUAUAUGUCACAUGAAAAACUGAAAUUUAAAAUAUUGUCAAAAAAGAAAAAGAAUCAUUCUUUUUGAAACCGUGGGAGUAAUUUUUUGUUUGCUUGAUACAUACAGGAAAUGACUUGGAUGCAUUAGUAAAUGGUGUGGCAGGAAUGGAAGGUGUGAUGAGGCGCCGAGAUCUUCCUAGUUUCUGCCGAACACCUGACCUUGAUAUCCCUAUUAUCAAACUUGUAAUCAAGCAGGGGAAACAUAUUGUCCAAGCCCAAGGUCUAAUAUUCAACACAUUUGAAGACCUUGAAGGGCCUAUUCUCUCACAAUUUCGAGC